rnacentral:tRNA from 1 species
UCCCUGAUGGUCCAGUGGCUAAGACUCCAUGCUCCCAACGGAGGAGGCCUGGGUUUGAUCCCUGGUCAGGGAG